GGUGGAGAAGGCGGACCGCUGGGAGGAGCCGAGUGCGGGUACCAGCAUUGAGCACCAGUGGCGUUUGGUUUUCAGUGGUACUCCAUGGACAGCCCUCCGCGAGCCCCGGCGUUGAACCCAUUUACGAUUCACUGGGAAAGUUCCGAAGCGCUGCAGCGCUCAGCCCUCCCACGCCAGGCGUGUGUGUCAGGGGAGCCAUAAAAUACUGACUCCGGAAGAUACAGUCAAUAGAAGUCAAGCUCAAUUUAAUUUUUUUAAAGGAAAAUAAUCUCGUAGAAAAAAAUCAAUAUUUUUAAGUCGUUCGUGUUAGUUCUCAUAACACCCCUACUGUAGUUCUCUCCUGGACGUGUAAUGCUGCCGUUUCAAUGUCAAAACAUUCAGUGAAACUUAAUUGUGAUUUUUAUCAGAACUAAUGUAGGACAUGAGAAUAAUGGGCAUUUCUCCUAGUUCCGUUACUUCGUUGACUGUGGUGUGAGGAAAGGUGAAAGACUUGUCACUCACCCCCGCUGAUAAAGUUAUGUUCUUCACUGGUUUCAGCAGGAAAUCUACCUUAAUUUAUUCCUCAUCAAACUUUAUUUUUGCUCAGAAGCCAAAUUAAGGAUCACUAGAAAUAGAAAAUGUGGAUCUUUUACCCCAUGAUGGAAAAUGCUACAGAUGAACCAAAAAGCAUCGGAGUAAAAAGCAUCGUACAGCAUCUGAACAGUCCACCAGCCUUACGAUGUGAGUCAGAGGUUAGGAAAAUCUUACACUGUUUGAAAAAAUGUCUAUUUCUAUUUUCAAUUUAUUAAAUACAAGAAAUAUUUAGAUAUAAAAUCCACUAUAUAUAUCAAGAUAGGACGUUCUUGGUUUAUACAAAAAUCAUAACAAAGACAACUAGACAAACCAGGUAUUUCAUUAAAUGCCUUUGCAGCGACUUUUCUUGGCUCCAGCAUUUUAAGUCAUGUGAAUUAGACUUAUUUUUAAGCAUAGGGCUUAAAAUAAAUCAGGCAGUUGCCCUAAAAUAAAUUUCC
rnacentral:lncRNA from 10 species